GGAGAGGUGGCAGAGUGGCUGAAUGCGGCGGUCUCGAAAACCGUUUGGUGCAGUUUUGCGCCACGGGGGUUCGAAUCCCCCCCUCUCCG
rnacentral:tRNA from 1 species